GCUGCGGGCGGCCUCUGGGGCCGGGAGCCGCGCGGCCGCGGAGCGCGCCGGUGACCCCCGAGGCGGUGGGAGCGUGGCUGCGCGCAGGCCUCGUGGGGCUCCCGCCCGUGGGCCUUCGCGGCCGCGACGGCCCUGCGAGGGCAGCGAGCAGCAGCCUGCCUCUAGCGCUGGCAGCGCCGCCGCUCCUCAGCCUUCCCCCGGCGAGGCUGCUCGUUCCCAUGUCCUCGAGGUGGGCCGGGCUGCUGACUGCUACGGGGAGCUGCGGGGUCACCAGCAGAGCUGGGAGUCUGGCCUUGGCAGAGCUGCCCUCCUCCUCCUGGGGCUGCUGAGAGGGGCGCUGGCAACCCGCGAAAGCUACAGCCGCCUGCCUCCGGGGAGGCAGCAGCGCUACGCAGUGGGGCGACUCGUACCCCCAGGAAUGCUCUUCUGGACCUGCAGAGUCAGUGCGGUGGGGAGUUCCACGCUGUCAGGAGAAACGAGACUGCACGGGAGGUGCCAAGCUUCCUAAUUCUUACGAAAAGAGGAAAUCUGUACAAAAUAAAAAGAUGUGACAGUUCUUCCAUGAGAAUGCAGAGCCUUUCCCAGAGCAUUUGUGCUAGCAGUGCAGGAGACUUCAAGGUAAGGAACCUGCCCAGCCCUGAUCUAUUCCCUAGCAGAGCCCUGAAGGCCUAGUGGGCAGAUCUGCUGUUUCCAGUCAUUCAGUGCUUUCAGGACUAUGUUCAAGUCUUCAUCACAGGCAAGUUAUGUAGUCUUGAGCUCUUGGACAAAAUAAGAGUAUAGACCUUGCCUUUCGAAGCUACAUGAUCCACUAACAUUCUCAAACUUUGCUCAGCAACUCAGAGCAUCUGACAACUAAUACCACAGGAUAAGCGAUCUUGUUUCACUUCCUCAGGGAAAACACCAGCUAUUAUGAGAUGAAGGAUAAAAACACUGAUGUUUUCAGUGCGGAGAUCGGAACCCAAGGGCUGAGCAAAACCAGUGUUUGUGGUGUGGGAGUGACUGUUCCCACCCCUCCAUGCCUGUCCUGCCUCAGGUGCAGGGAUAGCCCAGCUGCUUUGGAAGGAGCUACUGAAUACUUGCUAAUUAUGACAGUUAAUGACCUUGUGUCAUGACCUUGUUAAUGGCGGUACAUUAACAAAAUCUGAAAUUGGCACUGGGUUACCUCAACCCUUUAGGCAACCGGAAGCCUUUUUUCAGCCUUGGAUUUGCAAGGAGCCAUGGUCAUGGGCUAGCAGAGUGUGUAGAUGCACAGCAGUGGGAGUAGUAACCUUGGCAAACCUCUCAAGAGAAGCUUUCCCAUUGUGAAUUGCAGCCCUGAGACGCUGUAGUGCUAGCCCUUGAGGUGCGACUGUGCUACCAGAUACAUGCAGGUUAGAGCCUGCCUUCCAGUUCACCUUCAAAUCUAAACCUACCCUCUUUGACCACAUGGAUUGUCCACCGCCUUCCGCACUCACCUGUUUAAACUAAGAAGCACCUUCAAGCCAUCACACUACAUGGAGGUGAGAAGUGGGAGUAAUGGCUGUUUUUGCCAAUUUCCAAAAUUCAGUGCUGAACCAGGAGUGAGUGCAUGAAGUACUGUACUGUCUGCCCAGCAGGACCCUAGGGAAGUUGUGUGUGCCCCACUUACCUAGUGUGAUUCCCCCAGUAAAUUAAGAGCCCUGGGUAGGGCACAGUUUCCGCUCUAGGCUGAGCCAUCUCCCUGUCUUUUUGGUGGCAUGUUUUAGCAGGGGGAAUUGAACAGGUAACCAACACCACUUUUACAUGCUUAGAAUUACCAUCACCAGCUGCAAUCAUUUCAAGGAGUGUUGGACCACAGUCUUUCUUCACCUCAGCCAAAUUGGGCUCGGACAUUUCCUCUACUAAUCCUGCCACUGAGAGCUAAAUGUAUUAAAUGAGCAGGCUGAGAUUUCCCUAUAUACUCCUACAUGGUAUGUCCUUGUGAUAACUGCUGGACUGCAAGAGCCUUCCAUAGCGCAGUGCUGUCAGGGUUGCACAACUUGCAAUUUUAGCAUCUUUGUUCCCAAGUAACAUGUUAGCAUCCUUGUUGCUAUUCUGUUGUCAGUUGGGGUGACAGGACCUGACAAAGAAUUGACUGCAGACAAACUGAUGUUGCCCUAAUGUUUCUGCCUUUCUGUCUCUGACUUCUUGAGGUGUGUCAUGCAGACUGAAUUGGCCUUGUUUUCUAGAAGAUUUGCAAAGUGUAACAACAGUAUGGAUGGCCUGUCUAACAUACGUAAUCAUGGAAAAAUAGACAUGAAAUUUAGACUACAGUUAAGAGAAGAAAAAGUCUUUGUAUCUGAGGAAGUCCAUUAACUGGAAAUGACUUAAUGCAGAGCAAUUCAAAUAAUGUUAAAAACAACCACACUUUUUUUCUAAUGUCUUACUGGGAUCUUCAGAAUUUCUGUUUUUUUCUUAGAUAAGCCUUUUUUUUUCACUGCACUCAGCAAUUGGGAAAAUAAACCUGACUACAUUGUGUGAUUGUAAAUCCUCAAACAUUCUUAGAUCUUGCUGUAAAAACAUAAAGAUUGGAAGUAAUUUUCAUUGUUUUUUUAAAACCUAAGUAUCAGUUUGACUCUGUUGUUUUGUGCAUACCCCAUUAAAAUGUCCUGCUGAUUAUAAUUAUUAUUUCAAACAUUUUUUCAUGCCUGCAUGUUCUGACAUGUGCAACUUUUAAUAUUAGUACUGCAGGAGAUGUGAAGAUGCAUAGAUGCCAAAUGAUGGACUUACUUAAAAGACCUUGGGGUGUUCAAUGAUGCAGAAGAAGCAAAUACUAAUUUACCUUACUCUUUUUGUGUAAGUAAUAUAUUUUACACAGCAAAAUGAUGUAAUUGUAUUUUUAAUUUAUCUGAAGUAACUUCUUCCAAAGGGUACCACUGUCUGAAAGAACUUUAAUUUUUGCUCUCUAAUUAUGGCUUGCAAACUUACAGGUGUGGCCAUGCUGCAGAUAUCCUCUAUGGAGGGGAGGAAAUAUCUUCUUCAGAAAACAUGAAAUAACAGUGAGAUGUUGGCAUAUACAUCUUACGCUACAUUCUCAGAACUGUGUUACUGUGAUUUUUGAAUGGUUCCUCUGCAGUUUCAGGACUUAGUUCUUCACUUCAAAACUUAAGAAAAGCAAUGACUGGUAUUGAAAUAUGCAAAAAGCCUGCUUGAUGCCUUCCAUCACAUAGGCACAAUUAGGCUGUGCAUCUGUUGUGAUUUCACUCCUUAGUUACUAAAUCUGAUUAUUCAUCACGCACAAAAAAGAGAUAUUUUCUUGAAAAGUUGGGUUAGCCAACAGGCUAAAAAAGUAUUGUAUAAAUUCCUGUGCUUGUUACUGUGGCUCAGGCUUUGGUUCCUGUUUGCCUUUCUUUUCUGGAUAGUUCAUCACUUUACAAAGAAUCUCCUUCACUUUGUAGUUUAGUCCCCUUUACAGACAAAUGUAUCUUAUAAUUGUUUUCAUAAAUUGAUAUAAGCUCCAUUUUAAAAUAUUGAAAGCCACUUCCAGAAUUUCCUUUCCCGGGAUUCAGAGCCUUCUGAAUUCUGACCUGAAUUUAUUAAUGGAUGCUUCAUGUUCCUUUGCCAGCAUUGCCUGUGAGCUUAAAUAGUCCUCUGUCCCUAGAGUAACUUCUGAUAUGUACAACAAUCAUACUUCCUGUGUCUUAGUUUUGGUAAAUUAAAUUCUUCUAGUGUCUUUUUAAAUGAUAGGUACUUCAUUCUUUGGGCAUCUUAAUAGCCUGUCUUUGUAGUUCUUUCUUUGAAUCCGAAUUCCAUUUUUUAAAAUGAGACCAGAGUCAUCCACAUAUUUCAUAUAUCACUCAAUGCCAUAUGAAUGCCAUACAUGAAUUCUGCUAGGAAAGUAUUGCUUUUUCCAUGGUUCUAUUGCACUGGUGAAUUAUUAAUCUGUGAUUAACUGAUACUGUUUGUUUUAUGUCUGGAUAGGAAAUUUGUGAUGAUUUCCAUAUUUACUAAACCCUGAUUAAGAGCAGAAAUUGUUGCUAUUAAUCCUCGGUGCCAGAAUAGUGUUCCUAGUCUCUCCUCCUGGGUGCUACUUGAGGAUACUACUGACCUGCAUGUUCAUGUUCUUUGAGAACUCUGCAAUAAAAAUGAAAAAUACAUUCA